rnacentral:rRNA from 1 species
AUUGAACGCUGGCGGCAGGCCUCACACAUGCAAGUCGAACAAGUGGCGGACGGGUGAGUAAUGUCUGGGCAACUGCCCGAUGGAGGGGGAUACCUACUGGAAACGGUAGCUAAUACCGCAUCCCAUCGGAUGUGCCCAGAUGGGAUUAGCUAGUAGGUGGGGGAACGGCUCACCUAGGCGACGAUCCCUAGCUGGUCUGAGAGGAUGACCGUCCACACUGGAACGGAACCACGGUCCAGACUCCUACGGGAGGCAGCAGUGGGGAAUAUUGCAAAAUGGGCGCAAGCCUGAUGCAGCCAUGCCGCGUGUAUGAAGAAGGCCUUCGGGUUGUAAAGUACUUUCAGCGAGGAGGCGUUACUCGCAGAAGAAGCACCGGCUAACUCCGUGCCAGCAGCCGCGGUAAUAC